CUGAGCUCUCACGUAGAUCCCCAGGAGUUUCAAUGUCCUGAAUACCAGCCGGGGGAAACGGGAGAAAAAAAAACUGACUGCGAUACACAUUUCCCGAUGUGUGAUUCAGACAGCGCGGUGACACAAUGUCAUCGCAGCUCCAGUGAGGCACGAGCUAUGGAUGACCAUGAGUCAGAUGUGAGCAAACAUGCGAGACCACCUGCUGCGGAUGCCUGUGAGGCAGGCUUGAUGUCGGUAAAUGAUGAGAGCCGAGGGAAUGCAGAGACCAUUGAUUUAACCCCCCAACCACAGCAAAGUAAUAGCCCUAUCGAGCUGUGGCUGGAUGCAUGCCAGUAUCUGGCAGGUGAGGAUACAGAAGACUGGAAGGUUUUGGACAAGACGAGAUAUUCUGUGACGCAAGGAGGGCUCACCAGUCAAUUGUCUUUUCCCCCAAGAGAGACACAAGUGUCAGGUUACAACCUUGAUGGUAGCGACGGGAUUGGCUGGUCCAGCGAUGACACCAGAGGUUGGGGGCCACCGGUUGAGAGGUGGUCAUCAGUGGACAGCUGGGCAAGUGCACUCUCAGACUGGACUGGGAUUAUCGCGGCUCCGCCAGAGGAUUUCACGGCUGCCUUCACAGAAAUCGGGGCAGAGAUAGAUGCUCUGACACAGGCACUAGCAGAGGUAAAAACUCAUUUAGGAACAGAGGGAAAGGGUCAAGAGCCAGCAGUGCGUGUACAAUCGCAGCCACCCAUGGGUGUCCAGGAUCGGCCUUUAGAGGCGCAAAGCCUCCCGGAGAGCUCUGUCCUCUCUGGGCAUAGAUGUCCCUCUUUGUGCCUCGAAUCUGCAGGACCUGAGCUCCGAGACAGAGAGGGCUCCCAGAGCGUUGAAUCGUUGUGUGAUUCAACAGCCACGGCACUAGAAGAAAAGGAGUCGGAAGAAAUCCAGAGCGACCAGGCGGAGCGCUCUACACACCAGCACUCAUCCGUGGGAUCAUCCGGUGAUACGGCGGCCUCUCCUGGAGGACACGGUGUAGGUGUGACCCCUGGAUCUACUUCUUCUGCUGAUCUGAACCCUUCUCCCUUUGAGGGAUUUGUCGAGUCAGACCUUUUCAUCAGCAGUGAAGAAGAUCAAAUCAUACUGAAUAUAACAGAGGAUACAGAUUUGGAGGGACAAAAUACACCUGGAGAUCUGAUGAUUGAGAUGGUAAGAU
rnacentral:lncRNA from 1 species